rnacentral:misc_RNA from 1 species
CCUUUUUACCUGAAGCAAGAAAAACUUUGGCAGCAGCCAUAAAAUCCUCUGUUUUUCCACCAGUACAGGAUCCAAUGUAUACUCUGUCUAUUUUGACAUCUUUGCAUUCUCUUGCUAAAGCACGAUUAUCAGGAGAAUGAGGCUUUGCAACCAAUGGUUCCAGUUUUGAGAUAUCAAAUCUGUACUCGGAAAGAAACCUUGCUUGCUCAUCACUAUAAACUGGUUCAUAGGGCACAGAUGUCUUAUCCUCAAGGUACUUGAAUGUAGUGCUAUCAGCAGGGACAACCCCAUUCUUACCCCCAGCUUCAACAACCAUGUUGCAUAAUGUCAUCCGC